AUUGAACGCUGGCGGCAGGCCUAACACAUGCAAGUCGAACGAGUGGCGGACGGGUGAGUAAUGUCUGGGAAACUGCCUGAUGGAGGGGGAUAACUACUGGAAACGGUAGCUAAUACCGCAUACCAUCGGAUGUGCCUAGAGGGGAUUCGCUUGUAGGUGGGGUAACGGCUCACCGAGGCGACGAUCCCUAGCUGGUCUGAGAGGAUGACCAGCCACACUGGAACUGGGACACGGUCCAGACUCCUACGGGAGGCAGCAGUGGGGAAUAGUGCACAAUGGGCGCAAGCCUGAUGCAGCCAUGCCGCGUGUAUGAAGAGGGCCUUCGGGUUGUAAAGUACUUUCAGCGGGGAGGCGUUACCCGCAGAAGAAGCACCGGCUAACUCCGUGCCAGCAGCCGCGGUAAUAC
rnacentral:rRNA from 1 species